CAGAGUUGCAAAACUCCCUAAACCAUUGUGAACGUUACCUACAACCGUUGCUUCGGCGGGCGCUCCCGGGUUCAUCCCCGGGCGCCCUGGCCCAGCGCGUGCGCCCCGAGUCUCCAAACUCUUAUAACUUAUGUCUCAUCUGAGUACUCUUACUUAAUAAGUCA
rnacentral:misc_RNA from 1 species